AAACAAAAAAACAGAAACGUGAAACCCCUCACCAUCGAAACAGAAAACUGGCUCUCCGAUCGCACAAAACCCUCACCGAUCGCCCACACUCCCCUCACCGAUCGCACACUCCCCUCACCGCUCCAACACAGUCCCCUCACCGCUCGCACAUCCCCUCACCGAUUGCAGACAACUCUCACCGCUCCAACACACUCCCCUCACCGAUCUGAGACAACUCUCACCGAUCUCACACUCCCCUCACCGAUCUCAGCCCACUCUCACCGAUCUCAAGCUACAUCAGUUCCACCCUAUGUGAAUCCCCUUCCUCCCUCCGCUCUUCCUCCUCUUCCUUUCCUACUCAUCGAUCGCUGGCACACACCCAUUCUCGCAAGGCCGACUAGCGGGAAAAAGCACUGAGAUCAAAUGUGAAUGUCUUGAUAUUUUAUGUGAUGUGACCAUGGGCUGCUUUUAAGUGCUCUUUUGUCCCAGUUGAAUUCAAAUCAAGCCAGUGUCAGAAAGAAGACUGUGUCUUGUAUUGGUGAUGUUGUUCGCAAAGAUUUGAAAUUAUAGUCAGAGGCACAAAGUUCACAAAAAAGAAAGGUCACUGUGCAAGAAAAUCCAGACGCCUCUCAAAAGCCAUUCACCUUCAUUUUCUUUCAUUCUAUCUUGGUACCUGCCCAAUUCCCACGCCUUUUCUUCGUUGUGCUUACUAUCUUUCUUAAUUUGAUGCGUCCUUGCAUCUUUGUAACUCUUUUUGUUGUAAUUGUUCUUUUCUUUUAAUUAUAUAGAUUAAGAUUUGUAUCAUAGGGCUGUAUCUGAGACAUACG